GGGCCGUUAGCUCAGUUGGUUAGAGCAGCGGACUCAUAAUCCGUUGGUCGAUGGUUCAAGCCCAUCACGGCCUACCA
rnacentral:tRNA from 29 species